rnacentral:rRNA from 1 species
GACGGAGGAUGCAAGCGUUAUCCGGAAUGAUUGGGCGUAAAGCGUCCGCAGGUGGCAGUUCAAGUCUGCUGUCAAAGACCGGGGCUUAACUUCGGAAAGGCAGUGGAAACUGAACAGCUAGAGUAUGGUAGGGGCAGAGGGAAUUUCCGGUGGAGCGGUGAAAUGCGUAGAGAUCGGAAAGAACACCAACGGCGAAAGCACUCUGCUGGGCCGACACUGACACUGAGAGACGAAAGCUAGGGGAGCGAACAGG